GAUUUCUGGUACGAUAUGCCUGGCCCGUCCUCGUCAGAGGCUCGAGUGCUGGUGUGUGUCUGCCAUCUUUCUAGAGAGCGGCACUUCCCUUCAUUGGAGAGGUGUCCGUCAUCUAGAUCUUUUACUUUGAAAAAAUUAGAGUGUUUAAAGCAGGCUUGCGCUAUGAAUACAUUAGCAUGGAAUAAUAAUUUAGGACUUUGGUCUUAUUUUGUUGGUUUCUAGGACUAAAGUAAUGAUUGAUAGGGACAGUUGGGGGUGCUAGUAUUCAGCGGCCAGAGGUGAAAUUCUUGGAUUCGCUGAAGACUAACUUAUGCGAAAGCAUU
rnacentral:rRNA from 2 species